GGGCCAUAGCUCAAUGGCAGAGCAUCUGUCUAGCAUGCAGAUGGUCCCAGGUUCAAUCCCCGGCAGCUCCA